rnacentral:rRNA from 1 species
CAGCCGCCACGGUAAUACAGAGGGUGCAAGCGUUAAUCGGAAUUACUGGGCGUAAAGCGCGCGUAGGUGGUUUGUUAAGUUGAAUGUGAAAUCCCCGGGCUCAACCUGGGAACUGCAUCCAAAACUGGCAAGCUAGAGUAGGGCAGAGGGUGGUGGAAUUUCCUGUGUAGCGGUGAAAUGCGUAGAUAUAGGAAGGAACACCAGUGGCGAAGGCGACCACCUGGGCUCAUACUGACACUGAGGUGCGAAAGCGUGGGGGGCAAACAGGAUUAGAUACCCCCGUAGUCCCUGUCUCUUAUAA